UACGUAGGGUGCGAGCGUUAAUCGGAAUUACUGGGCGUAAAGCGUGCGCAGGCGGUCUGUUAAGACCGAUGUGAAAUCCCCGGGCUUAACCUGGGAACUGCAUUGGUGACUGGCAGGCUUUGAGUGUGGCAGAGGGGGGUAGAAUUCCACGUGUAGCAGUGAAAUGCGUAGAGAUGUGGAGGAAUACCGAUGGCGAAGGCAGCCCCCUGGGCCAACACUGACGCUGAGGAGCGAAAGCCAGGGGAGCAAACGGG
rnacentral:rRNA from 1 species